rnacentral:rRNA from 1 species
AUUGAACGCUGGCGGCAGGCCUAACACAUGCAAGUCGAGCGGGGUUUUCGGACCUAGCGGCGGACGGGUGAGUAAUGCGUAGGAAGCUGCCCGAUAGAGGGGGAUACCAGUUGGAAACGACCGUUAAUACCGCAUAAUGUCUACGGACCAAAGUGUGGGACCUUCGGGCCACAUGCUAUCGGAUGCGCCUACGUGGGAUUAGCUAGUUGGUGAGGUAAUGGCUCACCAAGGCGACGAUCUCUAGCUGGUUUGAGAGGAUGAUCAGCCACACUGGAACUGAGACACGGUCCAGACUCCUACGGGAGGCAGCAGUGGGGAAUAUUGGACAAUGGGCGCAAGCCUGAUCCAGCCACGCCGCGUGUGUGAAGAAGGCCUUCGGGUUGUAAAGCACUUUCAGCGAGGAGGAAGGGGUGUGUGUUAAUAGUACACACCUUCGACGUUACUCGCAGAAGAAGCACCGGCUAACUCUGUGCCAGCAGCCGCCGUAAGAC